rnacentral:misc_RNA from 1 species
AACGCAUAUUGCGCCCGAGGCCUUUGGCCAAGGGCAUGUCUGCCUCAGCGUCGGGUUAAUACUCGCCCCCUCUUCUCUCACGAGUAGAACGGGCGGAUCUGGCCGUUCCAGUGAUCAUUAUUGAGAGCUGGAUCAGCCGAAGAACAGAGGCUAACCAAGGACCCGUCAAGGGCCGCAACUGGGUGGGCAGCUCACGCUUGCUAAAUCAUCUUGGUUGUUGGUCUGGGACUUUGUUGUUCGGCCCAAAACAGGAACCCUUCUUUAUUUUCUCGACCUGAGCUCAGGCAAGAACACCCGCUGAACUUAA